rnacentral:rRNA from 1 species
CACAUGCAAGUCGGACGGUAGCAGGUAAGUACUUGUACUUAUGCUGACGAGUGGCGGACGGGUGAGUAAUGCUUGGGAAUCUGUCUUAUGGAGGGGGAUAACGACGGGAAACUGUCGCUAAUACCGCGUAGAAUCGGGAGAUGAAAGUGUGGGACCUUCGGGCCACAUGCCAUAGGAUGAGCCCAAGUGUGAUUAGGUAGUUGGUGGGGUAAAGGCCUACCAAGCCGACGAUCGCUAGCUGGUCUGAGAGGAUGGCCAGCCACACCGGGACUGAGACACGGCCCGGACUCCUACGGGAGGCAGCAGUGGGGAAUAUUGCGCAAUGGGGGCAACCCUGACGCAGCCAUGCCGCGUGAAUGAAGAAGGCCUUCGGGUUGUAAAGUUCUUUCGGUGAUGAGGAAGGUUGG